rnacentral:rRNA from 1 species
GGCUCAGGAUGAACGCUGGCGGCGUGCCUAAUACAUGCAAGUCGAACGAGGUGCUUUUGUAGCAAUACGAGAGUAUCCUAGUGGCGAACGGGUGAGUAACGCGUUGGUGACCUACCCCAAAGUGCGGGAUAACAGUCCGAAAGGAUUGCUAAUACCGCAUGUGGUUUUUGGUUUUAGAAACCAAUCUCUAAAGGAGCAAUUCGCUUUGGGAGGGACCUGCGUCCCAUCAGCUAGUUGGUGAGGUAACGGCCCACCAAGGCUACGACGGGUAGGGGACCUGAGAGGGUGGCCCCCCACAAUGGAACUGAAACACGGUCCAUACACCUACGGGUGGCAGCAGUAGGGAAUAUUGGGCAAUGGGCGAAAGCCUGACCCAGCAACGCCGCGUGUGUGAUGAAGGCCUUCGGGUCGUAAAGCACUUUUCUGGGAGAUGAGAAAGGACAGUAUCCCAGGAAUAAGUCUCGGCUAACUACGUGCCAGCAGCCGCGGUAAAACGUAGGAGGCGAGCGUUAUCCGGAUUCACUGGGCGUAAAGCGCGUGCAGGUGGCGCGGUAAGUUGGGCGUGAAAUCUCCCGGCUCAACUGGGAGAGGUCGUUCAAUACUACCGUGCUUGAGAGCAGAAGAGGAAGAUGGAAUUCCCGGUGUAGUGGUGAAAUGCGUAGAUAUCGGGAGGAACACCAGUGGCGAAGGCGAUCUUCUGGUCUGUUUCUGACACUCAGACGCGACAGCUAGGGUAGUAAACGGGAUUAGAGACCCCGGUAAUCCUAGCCGUAAACGAUGUGAACUUGGCGUUGGUGGGUUAAACUCCAUCAGUGCCGUAGCAAACGCGAUAAGUUCACCGCCUGGGGACUACGGCCGCAAGGUUAAAACUC